CAAGAUAUAGCUUAAAUAAAGCACCUAGUUUACACCUAGAAGAUUUCACCAUACUAUGAAUAUCUUGA
rnacentral:tRNA from 1 species